UGGGGAAGGGAGGGAGCAAAGCUGCUCAGCAGGAAGGGGAAUGCAGAAAAUGUGGGGGGGGAGGGGGGCAGCUGGAGCACCUGAACAAAAGGCCCUGAUAAAUCCGGAAUGGAGAGGAAUGGAGAGCCUAGGCCGGGGUCCCUCCAAGGCAGCCAGAGGCCUUGUUUACACCCUGGUCGCCCCGGGGCCGCUGAAUUCUUCACCUCCCUGCGAUGGUGACUGGUGACGGGAGAGAGGUGACCCCCGCGUCUGUGCCAGCCUCCCCCCCCCCUUAAUAAUUCAGGGCUGUUGACCCAGCGGGCCGCAGGCCUGGGCUGGGCCCGGAGCCAGGGCCUGUGGUUCCGCUGUCCCUCGCCGCCUCCCGCACCAACUCCCAGGGUCUGACUCCCCCCACGGAACCUUCGGGACCCUCAGGCGGGCACUAAGGCCUCCAGCCUGUCAGCCCUUCCCGCCCGGCUGCCCCCGGCCACGGCUCUGGUCUGUUGUCUGGCGGCCCUCAGGCCCCCCCCUCGCUGGAUGCAGCUCCAGGAAGGGACGUUCUCAUGACCCCGCCAGCCCCCUCCUCUUCGGGGCUCCCCUCCACCUCCCCCCUCUGCAUUCCCCGGCCUGAGCUCCCUGCCAGUGGGGGGACCUGCAAGGCAGGGGCGGGACCACCCCUCGAGUCCCUGCAGAGCCCAGGCUCUGCUCUGCAUCAGGAAAGGCGGGGCGGGGGCGAAGGUGCUGCGGCCUGACAGUGUGGACGCCAGAGGGAUCCCGUGGCACCUCGGUCCCUCUGGGGAGGGCAAAAGAAGGGCCAGGUUCCUGGCAGCCCGCGAAGGGCCGCCCGGGGAAGGUAGCCGCUGAGACCGUCUCCACCCCGGCCCCUGGCCCCGGCCGCGGAGGGGACAGUGGCUGCCCCGGGUCUGGGCCUCCUGCCACGCUCCACACUGGGGACAGAGGUGCUGGAGCUGAAACAAAGCUGUUGCCGUGGCAGCAACAAAAACAAGCAGCUCACGUGGAGCAGCCACAGCGUGCCACCAAUUCGGGAGAGGACUUUAUCUGAGGCUGCUCCACGGUUGGUCUCCUCAUCACUGGGCCUCCUUCCCACCAGAGAGGUUCCCCUCUGCUGAGCAGCUGGGGCCAGGCCUGGGCCCGACCUUCACAUCCUCACCAGCCUCCGGAGAUGAGGACUUGACUCCGAUAAUUCUUCCCUAAUCCCCAGAAACAAAAGCAUUUUCCACUUGAUUUCCAACUCAGGCUCUCCCCCUACACUCUUCUGGCUCUGGAAGGAAAGGAAAAGGAGGAGGCAGCUGGAAGGAUGUUUCUGCAUUUUCAAGUUAGAAUGUGCCCAAACUGGGACGCCGGGGUGGCUCAGCAGUUGAGCGUCUGCCUUGGCUCAGGGCAUGAUCCUGGGUCCAGGGGAUGGGGGGAUCGAGUCCCACAUGGGGCUCCCUGCAGGAAGCCCACUUCUCCCUCUGCCUGUGUCUCUGUCUCUCUCUGUGUGUCUCUCAUGAAUAAACAAAUAAAUCUUUUAAAAAAUAAAAUAAAAUAAAAAUAAAUGUGCCCAAAUGAUUAUACAUCUGGCUCCUAGGAGAACCAAGACAUAGGGGCCAAGCAUUUCUUUUUUUUUUUUUUAAGAUUUUAUUCAUUUAUUCAUGAG